UGGGAUGUAGCUCAGCGGUAGAGCUGUUCCCUUGCAUGUGUAAGGUCCUGGGUUCAAUUCCCAGCACCAA
rnacentral:tRNA from 1 species